GUUGUAGACAGAGGGGAUAUACAUUAGUGAUUGACAUCCACCAUUUUUUCCCUCUUUCCUAGGAGGUGGCCUGUUCUUGUCAAGUCAAAGCCAUGCCCACAUUUCAGAUGUAUAAAGAAUCCCGAAAGAUAUUUGAAUUCAGUGGUGCUGAUGCCAAAAAACUGGAAGAAAAGAUUCAGGAACUAAUAUAACUGAAUACUCCAUUAAUUACACCUUCAUCAUGACUUAGAACUUUACUUGUAUGUUAUCAGCUCACUGAAAAAUAUUCCACAACUCCUCAGAGACACUGACUCACUUUCAUUUUCUAACCUGGUCAUACCAUUCCCCUUCAGUGC
rnacentral:lncRNA from 1 species